rnacentral:misc_RNA from 1 species
GAUGAAGAACGUAGCGAAAUGCGAUAAGUAGUGUGAAUUGCGGAAUUCAGUGAAUCAUCGAAUCUUUGAACGCACAUUGCGCCCCUUGGUAUUCCAUGGGGCAUGCCUGUUCGAGCGUCAUUUGUACCUUCAAGCUCUGCUUGGUGUUGGGUGUUUGUCUCGCCUCUGCGUGUAGACUCGCCUCAAAACAAUUGGCAGCCGGCGUAUUGAUUUCGGAGCGCAGUACAUCUCGCGCUUUGCACUCAUAACGACGACGUCCAAAAGUACAUUUUUACACUCUUGACCUCGGAUCAGGUAGGGAUACCCGCUGAACUUAAGCAUAUCAAUAAGCGGAGGA